AACCGGAAGAUAUGAGAAGGCACACUGGGAAUGGGAAACUUUUUUUCACCUUUGGAAACCUUAAUUUCGCGGUGAUUGACUUUCCUUCGAUACUGCACUUGUUGUUAGACCAAGUCACUUGAUUAAAGAAUUAAUUUAGCGUCGAGUAUCGAAAAAGUGACGAUGUGUGCACGACGGACGAUAACAUUUUGGACCGACUUGAGGCUCCUCGAAGUGAUUGAGA